AGAGGACAUCUGUGGAUCCAUCCACAGAAGGAUUAGAAAUCAGAACAUUUCUAGUGUGCAGCAAAAAAAACCCAAACAUUUUGUGUGAGAAAAUUUCUGUAUUAGAAUAGUAAGAAGAAGAACAAUUAUUGAAAUACUUCUCUCCAGCUGAAAAACCUCUGCAGGGAUUCUGUCUGUAUUAGCAGAAGGAAGAAGGGUGCUCUAGAGAUAACAGAGCUCUCUCAAGGUUAAAGGCAGAGGUCACGGUGGUGCUGUAAAUUCCACCAGCUGCAGUUGUCUGCUCUGGGCCCCGGGAGGAGAGCUGGGGCUGGCUGUGAGAGGGAGCCAGGCUGCCCAUGGGCGACAGAACCACGGCUUCUUCCUCAGUCAGGAUUGCACAAACUGCAUCGUAAGUGUCUUUUACAAUAUGUUCUGCUUCAACCAGUGAAUUUUGUUCAAUUGGCCAGUGAAAGAAAAAUUAAAAGGAAAAAGGAAAGUGAAGAAAUUAAUUAUACCAGAUUUCAGCGAAGGUAAUACAGUGAUCUUAAAUACAUUUUUUCUUUUUUUUUUCUUUUCUUUUUUUUUUUUUUAUACAAUAAAGCUAUUGGCAAGAACCUGAAGCA
rnacentral:lncRNA from 1 species